rnacentral:misc_RNA from 1 species
CUGGAUUUUCCACAGCCAUGACUAAUUCAGAGCAAGAUGUGGAAAACCAUACCGCAUCCUCUUUAAUAGAACAGCUUGGAAGAGCUCUAAAUGAGCUGGAAGCCCUCAAGGAUGCAUCUGAGGACAGGGUUCAGUGGAUGGAAAUUGAACUUCACUUUCGCAAUCUUGACGCAACAUUAAAGAAAAAAUUUGAAGUGUUAGAAGCUAGGGAG